rnacentral:rRNA from 1 species
CCUGAUCCAGCCAUGCCGCGUGAGUGAUGAAGGCCUUAGGGUCGUAAAGCUCUUUCGCCUGUGAAGAUAAUGACGGUAGCAGGUAAAGAAACCCCGGCUAACUCCGUGCCAGCAGCCGCGGUAAUACGGAGGGGGUUAGCGUUGUUCGGAAUUACUGGGCGUAAAGCGCACGUAGGCGGAUCGGAAAGUUGGGGGUGAAAUCCCGGGGCUCAACCCCGGAACUGCCUCCAAAACUAUCGGUCUAGAGUUCGAGAGAGGUGAGUGGAAUUCCGAGUGUAGAGGUGAAAUUCGUAGAUAUUCGGAGGAACACCAGUGGCGAAGGCGGCUCACUGGCUCGAUACUGACGCUGAGGUGCGAAAGUGUGGGGAGCAAACAGGAUUAGAUACCCUGGUAGUCCACACCGUAAACGAUGAAUGCCAGUCGUCGGGUAGCAUGCUAUUCGGUGACACACCUAACGGAUUAAGCAUUCCGCCUGGG